AGGCAGUGCACUUAUGACACAUAUGAGGAGUUCACUAGCGCUCAUCGCUAGAGUUCGCCAGGAGCCGUGGCGGGAGUCCACCUUGAAGCGCAGCACCCGCAGGUCGUGGGUACUAAUCUGAUUCUCGAGUGUUUGGUUCAAAAGUUCUGUUAUUUGGGACACAAAUCUGACCGGCAACAACCUCACCCAUAAAAAUGAAAAAGAAGCAGUUCCAGAUGGACGCCAUGUAAGUUCACUGGAACAACACUUGGAGCUCCCUUAAGAUGCUGUUUGGGAUACCUUUGAAGCCAUGGUCCUAAGCUUCUCCAAACCCCCUCCGUGCCUGCCUGGCCUCCACCCUGUUCCUUGCCUCACCGGCCUCACUCUUAUACUCGUCUGGUCGACCGCGCCUUCCACCCACGGGAGUUCACAAAAGCCAGGCGUAGGCGUCCAUUGGCACCAACAGUUCUGGGCUCAUAC